CAAUGACUUGCCUAGGGUCACACAGCUAGGAAGUGUCUGGGUCUAAAUUUGAACCCAGACCCUCCCAAUUCUGUCCACUGUCCUAUCUAUCUGCCCCUUCUGUCACCUUCUGAGUUAAAACAAUUCAAUAAAACAUAAGGCUAGGUAGCUGCUAGAUUUCUUUUCAGUGUUAUAGCUUUUAAGAAAGGAUCUCAGGUUAUUUCUGUUGCACAGGGAGGUGAAUAACAAGCAUUUCAUUUCAGGAUGAAAGUUAUUAGAAAGCAGAGGCCAAACACUCAGAAACUAUGGUCUCUGCCAGACCUAAUCUGGUGAUCUUGUUUUUGUUUCACAGAAUCACAGAAUUUCCCUUAGUUAGAGCCUUGAGGGCUAGCUUGUCUGAUUCAUUGGAUAAAGGCUAGAUGAUGGAUUCCAUUGGCAAAGGGACCUCUCCUCCUCACAUUAGCAUCUUCUCUGCUAUGGACAGUCCAAGAGAGCUUCCUAAAGAAUGGAGCAGGAUGUACGCUGUGAGGAGAUGGUGGCCUUGGAAUCAGAAAGGCCCAAGCCGAGGAAAAGCUGUGACUUCCUGGAGGCUUUUCCACAUAUUGUAGAAAGCUGGAUAAUGUUGUGAUUUCUGCCUCGGUGGAUAAAAUAAUGCUUUUGGCAAGGGCCAGGUGCUCCAUAUCAUGAUAGGACAUGGUAACACUUCAUAAUCAUUGAAUAAUGAUACAGAAUAAGUGGGUUUAUUUAUGAUGGUGCCAUUAUGAGAGAACACAAAACUGUGCUUCAAAGGGUAUUGGACCUUUAGGCAGCGACCACAGUGGAGCAAAUAUGUAUUUAUUAAGCUCCUACUAUAGACCAGGCACUAAGCUAAUCUCCUUAUAAAUAUUAGUUCAUUGAUCUUCACAAUAAUUCCAGGAGAUAGGUUUUAUUAUUAUCCCCAUUUUUCAGUUGAAGAAACUGAGGCAAAUAGAGGUUAAGGGACAAAUUUAAAAUUUAAUUAAAAUAAAUGAAUUUAAAUGAAAAAUAUUUUAAAUGUG
rnacentral:lncRNA from 1 species